AUUUUAUAGAAGAAGAAAGAGAAUAGGCUCGAUGAACUUCUGGCAACCUGUCGCCACCAAGGACAAGGUGCUAAAUCCAACUAUAAAAUUUUUGAAGUCCAAUGAAAA
rnacentral:ncRNA from 2 species